rnacentral:lncRNA from 1 species
CCCGGCGCGCCAACUGUCGGUGUUUUCCCCACGGGGGGUCACACCAACGAGUAAAUUUGUAUGCGUGCUCCCUUUCCUAGAUGGUGACGCAAGAAGACACAGAGAUUUAUCCUGGUUCAGGCAAGAGAAGGCCCUACGUCCAGCGGGGGAGGGGAGUUUGUAUUAUCUUGCACCUAAGUGCUUGUACAGGGGCGAAUACAAGCGUGGUAUGGAGUAUGGGAGUUCUACUGCUGUAACAUCCCUGAUGUUACGAACACUAAAACUGGAUUAAGUCAUCAUAAGCAUUGCAAAGCAUAUUUGUUGAGCACAUCAUUAUGCAUCAACCUAAAAUAAGUUUAUUUUGGUUGAUUGUGCUUAGGGAAUUAAAGUAUGUUUAUCUGGUGAAGUGAUGCUCAUGAUGGUUGUUUUAUCCCUAGUUAAGGAGGGUGGUAAAAAAAAAAAAAAAACCUAAUUUCAAACAUAGUUUUUACCCCCUUUUGUGCAAUUCAAAAACCAAGCAAAAUUUGAGGUUGAGUUCAAAAGAAAAGUUGUAGGUCUUGUCAAGAUGUACAACUUUGGUGUUUUGAGUUUUUGGAGUUUCAAUAAAAAAUUUAAAGUAAUUUUGAAAAUACAAUUUUCCAGAAAUUGUCCCCUUUUCCGAUUUGAAUCCCCAAUUCAAAAUCUAUUUGGAAUUUUGAAAAGUGGUCAACAUGAAAGUUGUAGGGCUCAAAAAGUUGAACAACUUUCAUGUUGGGAGUUUUUCAAGUUGUUUGGAAAAAUUAAAAGUAAUUUUGGAAAUUCUAAUCUGCUCCAAUUCAAAAUUUGGAAUUUCCCCAAUUUGGGAUUUGAAAUUCAAACUGUUUUGUCAAAUUCGUCAUUUUCCACCCAGAAUUGGCUUUGGUCACCAAAAGAAGAUUUGUAGUUUGUAAAAUUCUGAAUAACUUUUGUUUUGGUGGAAUUUUGUCUUCAGUUCAAAAUUUGGACGAAUUUUGCAAAACCACAAAACUGGUUGGAUAAAGCCUGCUACAGUAACCGAUGAGGAUCACGGCCUGCACUGCCGCCACGACAGACACUGCUGCUCAGGACGCCGCCACGCACCCAGCCACGCAGCUGCUCGCCUGCUUACGGUCGCGGUGAAGUGGCCGAGCUCCUGGCGUCCUCAUCCACUUCUUCCCAUGGCUCGCACCUCACUGCAACCCUCUCUUCUUCCUUUCGCUCAACGCCGGUGAGCUCCCUGCGCCCGCAAAAAUUCACCUCUUCCACUUCCUUUCUAAGCCACCAGAGCACCCCAGCAGCUUUGCCAAGGUCUCAGCAACCAUUCGUGCCCCCUUGAUGCAAGCUCUAACCAUCUCUAGCCCCGGCUACGUCCGUUCUUCCUCCAUUCCGGCCAAAAGCGCCGCCGAGGAGCACCUCACCGUGGCCAUGCCACCUCAGGCCUUCUCGCAGCAAGCCGUGGUCACCAGAGGGUGCACAUAGGCCCAACCAUGCUCCAGUACCUCUCCCUUGUCGCCAACAGACGGUCGCCGGUCGGAAAUCCGGCUUUCCCGCGCACCUCCUCUGUUUCCAUUUCGCGCCAGGGACUUCGCGUUGGAAUUCGACACAAGGCAAGGGUCUAACUGCGAAGUUCGUGACUCAGGUGAAUAGUGCCAUCAGGACCUGUUUGUAGAUGUUUUGUUAGAUCUUUGAAAAUUCAUAUCUGGAGUUUGGCAACUCCAAUUUUGGUGAACCAAAUUUUGUUGUGCUCCUUGAGAUGUCUAGUUUUUAUUAAAAAUAUGAAACUGAUCAUGUUUUGUAGUAAAAUAAUUGGUUAUGAUUUAUGCCUUUUAAUUAUGUUUAAAAGGGAGAAAUUCAUAUCUUAUUCUGUGUAGAUCCUAUUGCCCUGAAAUUUUUAUGGUGUUCUCAUGAUGUUAUUUGAAUGUUGCAGUAAAAAUUUCAUGUUCAGUAGAUGACAUAUGAUUAAGUUAUUGAUUUAUCUUGUGUAGUGCUUAUUAAAUAAUUUACAAUUAAACUAAAAAGGAAUAAAUGUAAAAUAUGGUUCCUCUACCUUUAUAUGAAGUUGUUAUAUCAUAUAGAUACAUAAUUUAGCUAUGUGUUUGUAGAAAAUGUCGAGUUUCUUAUUUAUCUUGUUGUUACAUGCUUUCUUGUGAUGGAAAUUUAUCUUUUUCAUGGAAACUGCUAUACUUAUUCAAAUGGCAUGAAAUUUAAUAUGUGAACUUGUGUUAAUAUUACCUAGCUUCAGAAAUAUUUUCAGUUAUUUUUGAUUAAGUAUGCUCUGUUUCUUAAUAAAGCUAUUUAAAUGCUUAUAAAAGAAAUAGAAAUAAUUAAUCCCUUUAGGAUUUGGGUGAUAUUUUAGAUUGUUUGACAACCAGUGGUCACUUAGCAUAACAUGCUCCCUGGUUAAGGAUUCUUUCAUGUAAAUGAUCUUUGUUGCUUAAUAACUACACAACAUUGCUUAAUGAAGAUGAUAAAAUUUGCUUAGUAGUAAUCUAUGCUUUGAUAGCUAGAUUAAUUUGUUUCUUUACCGUGAAGGUAAAGUGUACUCGAGAUAAUCAUAUUUUGUUGUUAUCAUCCAAGAACAUGUAACCUGUCUUUAUCAUGUCAUGAGCAUCUCAUUGAUCAUGCAUAUGCACCUCUACGUGUAGACUACGCUCCAGAGGAAUCUGAUCCUCAGUGGGUUGCUUCCGAGUUUGUGGAACCAUCUGGUUUUGCUGAGUUGUCGAACUUUCCUUCCAGUCAAGGCAAGCCCCGGACAUUAAAACCCUAUCCUUGUAUUUUCAUAAAGUUAUUUAUAUCACUUGAGUUAAUAUGAUGCAUUAGGUGAAUAGGAGUUGAGUGAAUCCUAUUUGCUGCAUUAUCUACCUUGAUGAUUUCCAUAUUAACCUUGAUACCUGCUUUAUGAAAAUGCUUAGUAUGCUUAGCUCUGCUUAUUAGAUAAGUUUUCAAAUGAGAACGUUUGAAGGGUCGUUGUGGAAUACUGUUAUGGUCAAUAAUGUUUCAACUUGAGACCGGUCGGUGGACUUGCUUUAAGAAUGGAGUCUUAAAGUAGUGUCUCCAACUGAGUCGAUUAAGGACCGUACCGUUGAUUGGCCUGUUGUGAUUGAGACCUUUGAGUACAGCCCACAUGCGGCGGUAAGCCUUACCUAUAGCUAUUCCGAUACUUGAGAACGGCUAACCGCGUACUGGGAGUGGAAAGAUGGCGAGAGUAGCGUGUACCCACCUUACGGAUUUGAGAUGACCGGGAAACAUCUAGAUUGGCUGUAGGAUGGUGGUGUACUGUACUCUCGGGUGACGCUGGACCCGUUCUUGUAUGGGAGGAUCUAUAGAAAAGGUUGACAUAUGCAAGAUUAAGUUCUACAUAUGUCGUGUGGUACUGAAUCCCCAGCUGGGUUUAAUCGAUUCGAAUCGCCGUGUUUCCUCGGACAUGGAGCCUCAAUCCUCACACCAUCAUCGUAGUAAUAAGUGAAUCUUUGGUAUAAGAAAGAGAUGUUUUGCUUAUGAAAGUUGGAUAAUGAUCUUGGCUAGUUAUAAGUGAUAAUCUUGAGUUAAAACUUGAAAGUAGGCUUUACUCUUAGUAAGCUUUUAUGCAAAAGAAAUACUUGAUCUUGAUAAAGCUUUACCUUGCAACCCUAUAGCCUGCAUAUCUGAGUCUUCACCUCUUUUCUAGUCGGUUAAGUCUUGUUGAGUACUUUUGUACUCAGGGUUUUAUAACCCCUGUUGCAGGUGCUGACUUAGACUGCUAAUGGAGGUCAUGUCGGUGGGCGCGACAUGAUUUAUCCAUCUCUUCUACCUUAGAAGCUUCACAUAGGAUGCUUCCACUACUCUACACACCUUUUGGAAAUUUAGUUAAGUUUGUAUUUUAUCAUAUGUUGUAAAUUAAGUUAUAAAUCUUCCGCACUCUGAUGUAAGUUAUUUUUGUAACAAAUGUUGUAAUGUUGUGGUAACUCCAUGUUGAUCCUGUACGAGUUAAAAUGUGGAUGAUUCGGGUUUCCCGAGGACACCCGACAGACUUCUUGAGUCAUUUGGAACUCGUGCACGCUGAUCAGAAGUCUUUGAGACAAUGAUGGGUGCAUGUGGGCCACUUAAUUCAGGAGGUUCUGCCACAGCUGGUAUCAGAGCUCAUACAUGGAUCUUCUGCAACAUUACUUGUGAAAAACUUCAAAAGGAAUUUACAAAUUAAAAGUUUUUGAGGAUAACGACUUAUAAAUGCUCCUUAACUUUUCUUAUGCUUGCUGUCCCCGUUCUACGAAGACUUUCUGUCGACUCAAAUAGAAGGCAUUGAAAGGGACUUCAAUUUUUCUUCAACAAGCCGAGUGAAGAAUCAAACUACUCCAACAAUGCUUUGUCAAAAGUCUUGCAACAUUCCGUCCAGAGCAAUAAAGAUAAUGUAUAAAGUAUGCCCUAUAUAAGUAGUUACCUCCUAGCUAACGUUGUAAAGACGUAUAGGCGAGCAUAUUGCAUAUCAAGCAUAACAUGACAAAUAUAAUGAUACAUAAAAGCCCCUCCUUAUGCUUCAAAACAGUUAUUAUUCGGUAUAGCUGUUUUAUUGAUGAAUCUCAUCAUGUACCAGGUUUCGUUAACUGAUUGAUAAUCUUUUACUCCAUAAGAUCCUAAUCCUUGAUUCAUUUGUUAUGCAUGUGACCUUCCUUGAUUGCAUCUAAUUCGGACACCUACUACCUCCUUGAUGUCAUUUGUCAACAUUUAUGUUGAUUGAAUGUCACUAUGAUUGUGUCCUCUUAAGGUACCAUGACCCAUAACUUAGGUAACAGCGCCGAAACCUGGGGUCUCCUAUGGCUCGCGACCAUAAGGAAAUACUGCUGGGCGCUCGCUGUUAUCAAAGUCUAUGAUCAUGAUCCCUUAUAGACCCGCAACUUAGGUGACCUCACUCUUUGAACAAUAUUAUGGGAAUCCAUGCCCAUAUCUCUUUGGAAUUACCUAAAACCCCUGACUUAGAUAACCAACAUAGGUCAUUGAAAGCUAUUAUAACCGUACUCUAUAGUAGGUACCAUGAUCCGUGAUCACGUUAUAGCGUCGAACCUUGUAGUCUCCUGUGGACUGCAGCCAUAAGGAAAUACUACUAGGUGCUCGUUAAACAUCGGGAUCUCUGGUCAUGCUCCGCUAUAGUCCACAGUUAGUGUGCUUUCAUUCUCCUUGGAAGCUCAUUUGGAGAUUCAUAUCUUCUUAUGAAUUCUCUAACAUUCCUUAUUGAUUACAACAUUCUGUUGAUCUUAGUUGUAAUUCUCGGACCAAUUGUAAUUGUUUUAUGAACUUCUCAGAAGUUAAUGUGCUUGACACAUUUCCUUUUCCAUUACUUAACCCCACGGGUUUUAGUACCCUGGAAAUCUCGGGACGAGAUUUCUUUAAGGGGGAAGGGCUGUAACAUCCCUGAUGUUACGAACACUAAAACUGGAUUAAGUCAUCAUAAGCAUUGCAAAGCAUAUUUGUUGAGCACAUCAUUAUGCAUCAACCUAAAAUAAGUUUAUUUUGGUUGAUUGUGCUUAGGGAAUUAAAGUAUGUUUAUCUGGUGAAGUGAUGCUCAUGAUGGUUGUUUUAUCCCUAGUUAAGGAGGGUGGUAAAAAAAAAAAAAAAAACCUAAUUUCAAACAUAGUUUUUACCCCCUUUUGUGCAAUUCAAAAACCAAGCAAAAUUUGAGGUUGAGUUCAAAAGAAAAGUUGUAGGUCUUGUCAAGAUGUACAACUUUGGUGUUUUGAGUUUUUGGAGUUUCAAUAAAAAAUUUAAAGUAAUUUUGAAAAUACAAUUUUCCAGAAAUUGUCCCCUUUUCCGAUUUGAAUCCCCAA